GGAUAUUUCGGCCUCUGCAAAGCUUCUCAGCCCCGUGAGGGCUCACUCCUUGCAGCCACGGACCCUGGGGGUUUGGCUACAAAACAGAAUCCAGUGCUGCCCCAUCCCACAGAGAAUGACUGGGCUGAGCAGGGGGAAACUAGGGACACUAAGAAACGCUGACCCAGCAGUUGCUCCUGGAAGAAGCCAUUAAGGUCAAGGCAGAAAUAAUGGCCACUUCAACAGGAACAGGAGAUGCAGAACACAAGAGGCUGGGCCAGCAGGGCUGGGCUGAGUUUACCUGGGUCUGAGCAGCCUUCCUAGAAGCCUUGCUAGAGCCAGUUCUCAACUUAGCUGCAGACCAGGGGCUCUGGGGAGUGGGGACGGUCCCUGGGCUCCAGCCCAAACACGCUGAGCUCAUUGGUCUGGGGUGGGGCCUGGGAAAGGGCACUUUCAUAGACUCUUCAGGUGCUUCUCAUUGACAUUUAGAACUAAGAACCGCAACAACCAUAGUAAAGCUUCACCAUUUGCUGGUUCCAGAAAAAACAAAACAAAACAACAAAAUUUUAUGUUGUGCCUCAUAAAGAAGUUGAAAUGCAGCAUGAAUUACAAAGGUCAAGAAUCAGGAAAAAUAGGGGGCACCCAGACUUGAACUGGGGACCUCUUGAUCUGCAGUCAAAUGCUCUACCACUGAGCUAUACCCCCUUCUGCUAUAUGUGGUGACAAUUAAUACUGUUCAUCAGUCUAGCCACGCCCAGGCUGCCUGUAAAUCUAAGAGCCGCCACUUCAGGAAGGACCUCUUUUGGGAACUGGCAAACCACUCUUCAGCCUGCCACCUAAGAAGCAACAAGCUCUGUCCUCAAAAGCCCUGCAGCCUGUGUCCACCCACCCCGCCCCAGCCAAGGGCCCCAGGGUGUGAGCAGCAGCCGGGAGAAGCCUUGACGUUGGCUGUAGAAUGGCCUUCAGAGUCAGAGGCCUGGCUCCAUCAUGGUGGGCACCUAAAAAACAGACACUGCCGGUGACUGAGAUGUCUGUGCAAACCCAUUUAAUGAGGCCUGACUCUCAUGGGCCGACCGUCGGUUCAGGGCACUUUCUGCUAAACUACAGUCUGGGACAAAAAUGACCCUCCACUUCUGCAGUUACUAGAGAUGGAGAAUCAUGGAGGUGAUCCACUCCUAGGAACCGUCAGGAGUAGGCGGCUGAGUGAAUUUAGGAAUCAUCCAAAUUAUCCCUGAGCUAACAUGAUGCAAGGACCAGGCCAUGCUGCUGGAGAGGAACCAUACUGAGCCCCGGGGCCCUCUGAUCCGUGGGCAAAUCUGUCUGCACACUCACGCCAAGACCCUGCUUCUGCUCUUGUCCAGGAAGCUGGGAACCUUCUCUUUGGAAAACCGAUGUUGGGAGCUCUCCCUCUCACCCCCCAGCUUCUCCCUCGGGGCCUCGGCAGCCCAGCAGUUGCUUUUCCUCCUCCCCUGGCUGAGAAGCUGGGGAGAGGCUGACCUUGACCGUGAUGCUGAGGUGGAAGGAGACCCGGGGCAGGGCUCUGCGGGAGACGCCAGCCUUUGCUCUGCCCACUAACAGACUUAGAAGGCCCGCAACUGGGAGAAAGAGCGGCCACCAGAGGAAAAGGCAACAAGGGGAGCCCUGGAGGAGACUUGUGGGUGACUGGGGGGGAGGUGGGGGGGGCAGGCAGGGAGGAGGGACCCGGCCUGGAACCCCAGCUGGGUGAGGCCCACAGAGCCCCUACCUGCACUGCUCUCUCCCCAGACACGCCUCGGCCCUAAGAUCUAAGUGACAGCGAAGCAGGUGCCUCCCAGCCACAGCAGGCCCUCCACCCCUGAGCCUCUGUAGAAGUCUUUCCUGCCGCCUGAAAUGCCCUCCUUCCCGGCCCUCGAGGACCAGGCCCUGCACCCAGGAGGCUUCUCAUUGGCUUCCUUCCUCUGCACCAGGCGCGGGCGGUCUGCUUCCGCAUCAAAACUACUCAGCCUCCCUGGCCACAAGUUUCUAGGGGAGCCGCAGGGUCAGGCACCGCCCCCCCCCCCGCCCCCGUCCCCACCUUGAUUCCAUUCUCUUAACACUAAGAGGAGGUCACAGAGGGUGGUCCUUCUCUGUCCUUGGCCUUGGAGUCCUCAGACACAUAGGGGCUAUUGGUUCAAACCCAGUGAGCUUAACACAGAUUCGGGGAGUUUAUUCCAUAAUGUGGCGGGGGUUUUUGUUUGUUUGUUUGUUUUGUCUUUUUAGGGCUGCACCUGUGACAUAUGGAGGUUCCCAGGCUAGGGGUUGAAUCGGAGCUGGAGCUGCUGGCCUGCACCACAGUCUCAGCAACUCUGUAUCCUAGCUGCGUCUGCAACCUACACCACAGAUCACUGCAAUGCCGGAUCCUUAACCCACUGAGUGAGGCCAGGGAUCGAACCUGCACCCUCAUGGAUACUAGUCGGGCUGGUUAACCACUGAGCCACAACAGGAACUCCCAUUCCAUAACUUGGGCUUUGUAGGGAGACUUCUUUAGAGACCGGAAGGAAAUUCAAGCAGCACAAGCAGUCCAGUGACCUUUCCUUGAGAGAAUCAGCCUCCACCCAAUCCCAGCGCCUCUGCCCCUGGGAACAGAGAGACAAGCACCUCUCUGCUCCGGUGGUUCGUGACCUUCUCCAGAGGACGUGGGCCCUGGCGCUUCCUGUCCACUGGAAGAAGAGCUCAGCAUCUGCUGAGUCCAAAAUCAUGGCCUUUCAAAGACACUCCCUGAAACAGCAGUUGAACAAGAAAAGGACUCGCACAGCCACCAUCUGUCUGUUGACCUGAGGAGUUGGAGAAACGAGAAACAGAAGGAAAAGAUCCAGAUGCCAGUAAGAGGAAGGCUACCCAGAGUGUUGACACAGGAAGAGGCCCUGCACCUGGACUGCUGCUGUUCGAGGGCUGACCUAUAGCUCCCAGUAGUCUCAGGGAGGUUCCUGAUAACUGGAGGAUAGAGGAAGCACCUUGAAGAGAUCCUGCCCAAGCUCUUUGGAGACACGUGCAGGACCUACACCUGAAGAAAAAUAAAUUUUUAAAUAUUUUAACCUUCUAUCAAGUGACAUGUAAUUUAUCUGCCGAUGUUAGUUGUUCAUCUGUACAGUUUUGGAUUUUCUGCACACCUAAUAAUACCUAUAUUGUUGGGGAGUUCCCACUGUGGCCCAGCAGGGAUCAAGAGCAUCUCUGGGAGUUCCCAUCAUGGCUCAGCAGUUAACAAACCCGACCAGCAUCCAAGAGAACACGGGUUCAAUCCCUGGUCUCACUCUGUGGGCUGAGGAUCCAGCGUUGCCGUGAGCUGUGGUAUAGCCGGCAGCUACAGCUCCGAUUGGACCCCUAGCCUGGGAAACUCCAUAUGCCACAGUGUCAUUGCUGGGGUUGGCCGUGUUCUGAACAGCGUGGACGUGUCACAAAAGGGCUACAAGAUUUCUGUGCAUCAUUAAAGUAUGACGACUCAACACAACUUCCAGUUUGCGGAGGGCCGUUUCACGCAGUGGCCGGCCCACAAGGCAGGCACAGUCUUGGCUCCCUCCUCGAGUGCCAUGGCGUGAAUGUCUGUGAAGGGCUGGUCCACAGCCAGCCGGUCCUAGAGACGGGCAGAGCCUCCCCGCAGAAGAGCUGGAAAGGAGGUGGCCCCUCAGAGCCCCCUGUGGCUCCUCCUGAGCGAUUCUAGAAAGAACCCAGUGCCCGCCCCAUAGAGGAAGUCCAGAGCCAACGCUGGUUCUCCAGCUCUGAGGGCUGCAGGGCAGGUUCUCUGUGCAAGCUCUUGGUACCUUCUUUCCCUUGGGUGUGAGAAAGGCAUGUGUGAGAGGCAUCAAGCUUGAACAGACACCACCUGGAGUCAAGGACAUCUUCCCUGAUGCCCAGCCAACUUCUGCCAAGCCCUGGUAUGGGUCAGGAUGGGCCGGGGUCUGCUGCAGUAACUGUGAAACCCAAAGUCAUGGGGCUUAUUACAGUAACGGCUCGUUUCACGCUUGUGCUACGUGCUCAUCAGAAGUUGGCUAGGAGACCUAUUCGAGGUCACCAGGAUAGAGGCUGAUAGAAUAAUCACCUUCUCCAAUAUUGCCGGUCACCAUGGCAAAGGGAAAGAAAUCUUUGAAAGGCCCCAAUUAAAUGCUUAGCUCAGAAAUGACAACUCAUCGGCCAGAACACAUCACAAUCCAAUCCAGGCAGAAAAGGCCAGGAAGCACAAUCCAGCCGCAUCCGUCAGGGAAGUGAACUAGAAAUAUUGGGUGAAGAGCAGUAUGACCUUGCUGAAAGGCCUAGGACUGGACGUUUGGGCCAUGUGCCCGGUGCCAAGGGAAAACCUCAGAACUAAGGGACCAGAGGGAAAAACGCGGGCUGUGCUCAAGCACAGAGGCACCUGCAGGAGAUCCCGGGGUCAGCACCCCCCACAUCUAAACAGUCUGAACCGCCUGCUUCAGCCUCUCCCCUCCUGGGGCUGACAUGUGGUCUCAUGGUCACCAGCCUCGCCAGGCUCCUUCAGAGGGGGCUAUGGGUGCGCAGUGCCCUUGCUCCGCAGAGGAGGUGGGGUGGGAGUGGUGACAGCCCAGAGGAGAGUGCCUUCUUGGGACCAUAGUUCGUCACACUGCAUAGAACAAGGAGUCAAGAUUCGUAUUAAGUGAGACAAAGAACAUAUGCAUGACUGGAGUUGACACAACAUUGUAAAUUAACCAUAAUUAAUUUUUUAAAAUUUAAAGCCUUAAAACAUAAAGAUUUGUAUGAAGUGGUUCAUUUAUGCUCUGUAAACCUACCCUGUACCAGACACGGUAGGGGAGAGGAGAGAAAGGAGAUCUGAAGGCUGCAGGGCCAGCUACCCAGGAUGCUUUGCAGUGAGUGGAUCCCAGUCUUUAGUGGCAGGUUGGGUGGGUCGUUAUUCCCCAGGUUCAGGUGUGUAUCCGAGCCCCACUCCCACCCCACCCAUAAACCCUACUAGGAGCUUGUUAAAAAUAGACCUUCUUUCUAAAAAGCUUUCCCCACAAUAGUAAGGACCCAUCCCCAGAGAUUUAGAUUCAGCAGCUCCAGGAAUUGGCCCGCUCGCAAUUCUCUGCUUGGCUGAUGGUGAGGUGACAGGCGGUGUCACGGGAUUAACACUGUCAGUCCUCAGGCUCUGAGGCCCGGGGGCCGUGUGUACUUAACAUCUUCCAUUUGGUGGGAGUUUGAGCAUCUAUAAAACAACUCAGGAAACAUGCAUCAGAUUCCCUUAUCUGGGCACUUCAAAAGAAAGCUAGGGCAGAGGAUGUGGGGAGGGGUCUGUCCCAGGAAGGCCCAGGUGGGGUCCUGCUUGGUUACACUUUGAACAAAAGAAAAAUCAAGGACUUGACUAUGAAGCUAAGGAAGCUUCAGAGCACACCCCUUGCGCCAGCUCUUACCUUCUCUUCAAAAUUUGUAAUUCUGUGAAGGUUUAUUUUCUUAAAAAUAGUCCCCGAAUUAUACAAGCUUCCGGCCCACAAAACAGGGGUCUGGGAGAGGGGAGGCAUGAUUUGGAAAGGAUAAAAAACACGUGGAAGAAGAGCGAGAGGAAAAAAAAAAAAUUGGAAGACAACCUCCGAGUAGAUUCCAGAACAUUCUCCCACAGUGAGUAGGUCCAAUUUGCCUGGUCAGGAAUUUCCUUCCAAAGACAAAAGGUGCAGGGGCUCCAAUUCCAAAAUCUCUCUCCCUGACUCCCAGCCCCACUGAGGGGCAAAAUCCCUGGGAGCUGAGGGCUGCGGGAAGUGGACCUCAGAAGACAACUGGGCCAGCAGCACCAGCGGGAAGAAGAAAAUCAGGCCUCUGGAAACGACCUCUGGCAACAGUCUGAGGAAAGCCUUGGCCCCAGGCCGCUCCUGGGGAGAUUCCGCUUUCACACAUAAAGAAGAACACAUCCGGGAUAAGCCGCUUCCUGGACCUUCAGCCCAGAAUGACCAAGAAACAACAAUCUGCAGGUUGAGACCCCAGCUGCCAGACCGCAAGCCCAGCAGGACACGGAGCACGUGGCCCGCAGGUUCCGCGGAUCCAGAGAGUCCCACUUAAGAGGAAAUUCUGCAAGGAAAUGCGUCUCGCAGCCACACGAGGGCCCCAUUCAAAGCUCCCUCCAGCCACCAGCCCGGUUCGCCUCUUGAGGAGUUUUCCAAUUUAUUUGCCUUUCUCUCCCUGGUUUAAAAACACUAUUCUUGUGAUUACAAAAUGGUAUAAAAUAUUCGUGCUCCUAUGACAAAAUAAAGAACAUUUAAGUUAGAAAAUGUA
rnacentral:tRNA from 1 species